UCCAAGGAUAUUUAAAGACAAUACAUGCUCUGAGGAUGAAACUAUAUGUCCACAAGGCUGGAACCAAAUCAAUAAUAAUUGCUUCUUUCAAUCUGAACACGAAAAAACUUGGAUAGAUGGCCAAGCAAACUGCAUAGCCUAUCGUGGAUCUCUGGCCAUAUUCAACUCCAAGAAUGAAGUGGAAUCUUUGAUGCCCGAUCUGGGACCCUCUUCAUAUUGGAUUGGACUAAAGAAGCCAAAUGCAAGUGCACCCUGGAUGUGGGCAAAUGGAGAUGCAUUCAACAAUUGGUUUAAUAUUGAAGGAAAUGGAACAUGUGCCUUCAUGCUUAAGAAGGGCAUAAGCAGUGCCAGUUGUGAUGAUGCAAUAAAAUAUAUAUGCAGCAGAGAAUCCUUUUGUCCUUAGAUAAAG